rnacentral:tRNA from 1 species
ACCUGGCUGGCUCAGUUGGUGGAGCAUGUGACUCUCAAUCUCAGGGUUGUGAGUUCAAGCUCCACGUUAAAUA